rnacentral:misc_RNA from 1 species
AACCUGUAACAGUGCUUCCAGCUUGUUUUCAGAACCAGAAAGUUUUAUAAAAUCAUGCCGAGCUGAUGCUAUCUUUUUAUGUAGUGUUGAUGUGCGCAAAUGGACUAUUCCUUGAAAUUCCUCAUCAAUCAGCUUUUGAACUGCCUGCAAAACCUCUAAAAAGUUAAUGAUCCAAAUUCCUUUGUGCAGAAGAAAGUUGAUUAAAUUACAGCCAACAGAUAAACAAACAAAAUAUCAAUAAGCUGCAUGCACAUGAACCAUCAAAGAAAGUUAUAGAUCAAAAUCAACCGUCUGCUUCCAUUAAUUGCACAAGGAAGCAAAAAGAUUAUGAAAAAUUUAUGGACUCGAGCAUGAUAGAAUGAACUGAUUUUAAAAGCUAUGGAGGGCAGAAUUGAAUUCAUUUCCUAAGUGAGGAGAAGCAACAUAGUUCCAUUUCAUAAAAUUGAUUUGUAAGAGAAAUUUGAGGCUGAACUUUUCAUUCAAAAUCCACAGAAGACAAACAGCAUUUUGUAUAUCCAGUAAGACUUUAGUCCAAGUCAGCAUACCUUUGUUAUUG